rnacentral:rRNA from 1 species
GUGCCAGCCGCCGCGGUAAUACGUAGGGUGCGAGCGUUAAUCGGAAUUACUGGGCGUAAAGCGUGCGCAGGCGGUCUUGCAAGACAGGUGUGAAAUCCCCGGGCUUAACCUGGGAACUGCACUUGUGACUGCAAGGCUGGAGUACGGCAGAGGGGGAUGGAAUUCCGCGUGUAGCAGUGAAAUGCGUAGAUAUGCGGAGGAACACCGAUGGCGAAGGCAAUCCCCUGGGCCUGUACUGACGCUCAUGCACGAAAGCGUGGGGAGCAAACAGGAUUAGAUACCCCCGUAGUCC